CUACUGUACAGUCAAUGGCGGCAUGGCAGCGACGCUCAUUGUAACUUGGAAGUGGAUGCAUGUGCGACUUGAUGUGGCGUUGCAUGUAGGAGGCCCCGUUGGUAAUGUUCGCAGACUGGUCAUUUGAUGAUACGUGUGCACACUGCACAGUGGUAGUGCUUGGGGGCCUCAAGAGGGAAUCGCAGAACAUAGCCAUAGAGCUAAAAGUCAUAGAAGAUUUUUAAAAUUGCUAUUUGAUUUUGUGUUGUAUCAGCAGUAGUAUGUCCUUCAACAAUCUGUUAUGUCUAACCUUGGAAUUAGUCUCAUGUGACUAAGUCAACCAAAUGGGGCAACAACAAUUUUGUUUAAGAUGACUCUUGAGGCAGAAAGCUUUUCCUGCUUCUUACGAAAAGGGACAUUGGAUGCCUGAAUGUCUAAUACCAACCAAGGGUCAUUGCAAAGAUAGGUAAAAGAUAUAUCAAUAUAGAUUAUACUCUGAGUGAUGGUGACAUAUGGUAAAAAGAUAGAGCAGUAUGAAUAUUUGCUGCAUCAUUUACUUCUAUUAUUAAUAUCUUCAAGGUAUCUUACUGACUUCUAUUGGUUCUCUUUGUGGAAAGAAUAUCUUGAGUGCGAGAAUUGGAUCACAAUUGACUAGAUGUUUUACUAUUUAAAUGAGUUUAUCACAAAGAAUUUGUUACUCAUUCAUGUUCUGUCUCUGUAAUGUGGGUAGAAUAAUCGAAAUGUCGUGGUAGGAAUUCGCGAGAGAUAUGCCUAUAGGGUUUCCCUAUUGACAUACUGAUACAGAUUCACCAUGGUAAUGGAUUUGAAGAGGACUUUGAUGGAGUUUUGGUAUUAAAAAAAUACAAGUACAUGAUCGUUGGAAGGGCAACCGAAGAGUUCCGGAUCCUUUUACUAUCGCACAUAUUAUGUGCGUGUAAGACUAAAGGCUCAAAGAAGAAGAAUGAUUCAAAAAUUGUGGGAGAGAAUCAUCAAAGAAACCACAAUGUGUAAAUGCGUCACAUCCGGGAAAUUAAUACUGCAGUAACCAGAGCAAUACAAAAAUUGGCACCAACUCGUACAUAUCAGAUUUUGCCGCAACGCAUUCAAGAAUGGAGCUUAACACCUUUCAGGGCUGAAGAAAAUGAAAAAAAAGAAUUAGAAAAAAAUUUUUGGCAGCAAAACAAACCGCGGGAAGCUCAGGAAGAGCUGGAUCUUAAAGAAAAGUGCUCAAAAGGAACUAGAUAGCCCCAGCAAAGGCUAAAAAAAUGUAUGGUUUACAUAAACCUACAUGACGAAGCAGUUAAAGUAGGCGAAAGCGAAUCGAGUGCGUCACUCGCGGCCGUCAGUCCCGCCAGCUAUUCCAGUUCACGUGGCUUCGGACUUAGGAUGGCUGCUGAAACGAACGUUUCUCUUCUUGAAAUUAUACCACCGAUUCCGUGUGUUUUGAGUUACAUCUUGUGAAUUCAAUCAAUGCAGAGUUGUUCAAGGUAUUAUGGCAAAAAUUCAUGUUAAAGAAACAACGUACCGCUUAAAUAUUUUAAAUUUUUUGAGGAGGAACAUGGCUUGGCUUUGCCAGCACGUUUUUUUUUUUUUUCUCCGUUUGCCUGUUAAACCCAUUUUGUUGCAAUGGUGAUACGUAAAAAGAGUAGUUCUUUAUAAUCUUUUUCUCUAUCUAAAUCUCUUAGAUUCUUGGAGGUGUCAUCAUGUGAUGUUAGAAUUAAUUAUUAAUAGUUUAAGUUUUUUAUAUUUUGCUUUCAGGUCUUUGGGAUAUACCUGAUGUACUGUGGUGGCCGUAAAAUCAUUCAAUGACUUGGUUCAAUCCAGGACUUGGAUUUUUCGAUAGUGGUUUACAGUUUUAUUUUACAGAGAUCUUGGAGGUACCUGAUGUGGUUCUUUGGCGUUGGAGUCAUAGUAAAUAAAACAUAUCCAGUAUCA